UAGGGAAUUUUCGUCAAUGGGGGCAACCCUGAACGAGCAAUGCCGCGUGAGCGAAGAAGGUCUUCGGAUUGUAAAGCUCUGUUGCCGGGGGAAAAAAGGG
rnacentral:rRNA from 1 species